rnacentral:misc_RNA from 1 species
UUUCCGUAGGUGAACCUGCGGAAGGAUCAUUAUUGUAUAACCGAGCUGCGAGGGCUAUCCCUGCCCCGCAAGUACGUGGACGUCCGAGUGCCCCCACACACAUCCAUCUCUCCCCUAUGUGCACCACCGCGUGGGUACCCCUUUGGCUUGUUCGGAGGGGGGCUUAAGUUUUCACACAAACUUUGUAUGCAGUGUAGAAUGUAUUUUUUGUUUUUGCGAUCACGCAAUCAAUACAACUUUCAACAACGGAUCUCUUGGCUCUC